GGCCAUACCAUGCUGAAUAUACCGGUUCUCGUUAAAUCACCGAAGUGAAGCAUCAUUGGGCGCGGUCAGUACUUGGGUGGGUGACCACCUGGGAACACUGCGUGCCGUU
rnacentral:rRNA from 1 species